CCUACGGGAGGCAGCAGUGGGGAAUAUUGGACAAUGGGGGCAACCCUGAUCCAGCCAUGCCGCGUGUGUGAAGAAGGCCCUCGGGUUGUAAAGCACUUUCAGUGAGGAAGAACGCCUGGUGGUUAAUACCCAACAGGAAAGACAUCACUCACAGAAGAAGCACCGGCUAACUCCGUGCCAGCAGCCGCGGUAAUACGGAGGGUGCGAGCGUUAAUCGGAAUUACUGGGCGUAAAGCGCGCGUAGGUGGCUUGAUAAGCCGGUUGUGAAAGCCCCGGGCUCAACCUGGGAACGGCAUCCGGAACUGUGAAGCUAGAGUGCAGGAGAGGAGGGUAGAAUUCCCGGUGUAGCGGUGAAAUGCGUAGAGAUCGGGAGGAAUACCAGUGGCGAAGGCGGCCUUCUGGACUGACACUGACACUGAGGUGCGAAAGCGUGGGUAGCAAACUGGAUUAGAUACCCUAGUAGUC
rnacentral:rRNA from 1 species